rnacentral:tRNA from 1 species
GCGGCGGUGGUUUAACGGCAAAAUAGGCAGCUGUCAACUGUCAGACCGGGGUUCAACUCGCCGCCGCA